AAGGACGUGAUAAGCUGCGAUAAGCUUCGGGUAGGUGCAAAUAACCUUUGAUCCGAAGAUUUCCGAAUGGGACAACCUAGCCGUCUGAAGGACGGUUACUCUUACCAAUGUAAGAGAGCUAACGCAGGGAACUGAAACAUCUUAGUACCUGCAGGAAGAGAAAAUAAAUGAAUGAUUCCCCCAGUAGUGGCGAGCGAACGGGGAACAGCCCAAACCAGUGGCGUCGCAAGGCGUGGCUGGGGUUGUAGGACCGCGACAUUGUAUGCAAAUCGUGAACAGAACACUUUGGAAAAUGUGACCAUAGACGGUGAUAGUCCAGUAUGUGAAGCGAAAUGCAGCAUAGCGGUAUCCUGAGUAACGCGGGACACGAGGAAUCCUGCGCGAAUCUGCCGGGACCAUCCGGUAAGGCUAAAUACUCCCGUGAGACCGAUAGCGAACGAGUACUGUGAAGGAAAGGUGAAAAGAACCCCGAGCAGGGGAGUGAAAUAGUUCCUGAAACCAUACGCCUACAAGCGGUCGGAGCAUCUUACGAUGUGACGGCGUGCCUUUUGCAUAAUGAUCCUACGAGUUACCGUCACUGGCGAGGUUGAGUGUCACGAGACACGUAGCCGCAGUGAAAGCGAGCCUGAAGAGGGCGCACAGUCAGUGGGGGUAGACGCGAAACCAAGUGAUCUACACUUGGCCAGGAUGAAGUCCCGGUAACACGGGAUGGAGGUCCGCACCAAUAAGCGUUGAAAAGCUUCUGGAUGAGCCGAGUGUAGGAGUGAAAGGCCAAUCAAACUUGGAGAUAGCUCGUACUCCCCGAAAGGCAUUUAGGUGCCGCGUCGGAUGGUCACCGUGAGAGGUAGAGCGACCGAUAGGACAAGAGGGCUUCACCGCCUAUCGAGUCCUGACGAACUCCGAAUGCUCACGGUCUGCAGUCCGGCAGUAAGGGGGCGGGUGCUAAGGUCCGUCCCCGAGAGGAGAAGAAUCCAGACCGCCGUCUAAGGUCCCGGAGUUCUGCCUGAGUUAGUCUAACGAAGUCUGGUCCCUAUGACAGCUAGGAUGUUGGCUUGGAAGCAGCCAUUCAUUCAAAGAGUGCGUAACAGCUCACUAGUCGAGGGUCCGGGCAUGGAUAAUAAUCGGGUAUAAGGCAGACACCGAAGGCGCGGGAUAGCAUUUAAGAAAGUAUCGGUAGGGGAGCAUACUCACAGCGUUGAAUGGUGUACGUAAGUUAUCCUGGAGCGGUGAGUAAAGCAAAUGUAGGAAUAAGUAACGAUAAGGAGGGUUAGAUUCCCUCCCGCUGUAAGACCAAGGUUUCCCGGGCAAUGCCAAUCAGCCCGGGGUCAGUCGGGUCCUAAGUCUAAGCCGAACGGCGAUGGCGAUGGCAGAGACGGUUAAUAUUCCGUCACUGCCGCAUGGGGCGACGUGGAGACGGAGCAGUGAAACCACCGCGGGGCGACGGAAGUCCCCGUUGAAGAGUGUAGGUGUUGAGGAUGGCAGGCAAAUCCACCGUCCGAGCUGAACUUGACAGUAUGGAGUCUUCUUCGGAAGAAUCCAAUAGUGUGGGUAAUCAUACUCCCGAGAAAAUCCGCUAAGCUUAACCCAUGCGGCACCCGUACCGCAAACGGACACACGUGGUCGGGUAGAACAUACUGAGGCGUUGAGAGAUUCAUGGUUAAGGAACUAGGCAAAUUGACCCUGUAACUUCGGGAUAAAGGGUCCUCGUGAAUAGCGAGGCGCAGAGAAUAGGUCCAGGCAACUGUUUAACAAAAACACAGGGCUGUGCAAACUCGAAAGAUGACGUAUACAGCCUGACACCUGCCCGGUGCCGGAAGGUUAAGAGGAGAUGUCACUCGCAAGAGGAAGCAUUGAAUUGAAGCCCCGGUAAACGGCGGCCGUAACUAUAACGGUCCUAAGGUAGCGAAAUUCCUUGUCGGGUAAGUUCCG
rnacentral:rRNA from 1 species